UACGUAGGCGGGCGUCUAAGUCAGUGGUGAAAUCUUACAGCUCAACUGUAAAAUUGCCAUUGAUACUGGAUGUCUUGAAUUAGUGUGAAGUGGUUAGAAUGUGUAGUGUAGCGGUGAAAUGCAUAGAUAUUACACAGAAUACCAAUUGCGAAGGCAGAUCACUAACACUAUAUUGACGCUGAGGGACGAAAGCGUGGGGAGCGAACAGGAUUAGAUACCCUGGUAGUCC
rnacentral:rRNA from 1 species